rnacentral:rRNA from 1 species
GACGAACGCUGGCGGCGUGCUUAACACAUGCAAGUCGAGCGGAAAGGCUCCUUCGGGGGUACUCGAGCGGCGAACGGGUGAGUAACACGUGAGUAAUCUGCUCUUCACUUGGGGAUAACUACCGGAAACGGUGGCUAAUACCCGAUACGACAACUCCACGCAUGUGGUGGUUGUGGAAAGUUUUUUCGGUGGGGGAUGUGCUCGCGGCCUAUCAGCUUGUUGGUGGGGUAAUGGCCUACCAAGGCUUCGACGGGUAGCCGGCCUGAGAGGGUGACCGGCCACACUGGGACUGAGACACGGCCCAGACUCCUACGGGAGGCAGCAGUGGGGAAUAUUGGAAAAUGGGCGAAAGCCUGAUCCAGCAACGCCGCGUGAGGGAUGACGGCCUUCGGGUUGUAAACCUCUUUCAGCGGGGACGAAGCGCCGGUAAUGGUGGUGACGGUACCCGCAGAAGAAGCACCGGCUAACUACGUGCCAGCAGCCGCCGUAACAC